UUUUUCUUUUUUUUUUUUUCUUUUUUUUUUUUUAUUGGCUGCACUUGCGGCAUAUAGAAAUUCCCAGGCCAGGGAUCAAGGGAUCAAAUCUGAGCCACAGGUGCAACCCAUGGCAUACCUGCCACAACACAGGAUCCCUAACCCACUACACCAGGCCAGGGUUCAAAUCCACACCUCAAACCCAAUGCCUGCACAGACAGCACAGGAUCCCUUGUGCACCACAGCAGGAAUUCAUCAAAUAUCUUACUUUAAAAUUCAAACAAACAGGAACAUUUAUCUGUGUACUUUAAAUAGGAAGUAGGUGUGACAUGGGAAUGAUAUUUGUUUACCACAUGUGAAUGCGAUUAUUUGGGGAAUUUAAAAAUACACUUCAUGGAACAAAAGUCAUUCAAUAAUAGAAACAUCAUGAAAUGUCUACUUCAAGAAACCUGAGUUUUAGAAAUAAUGUAUUUUGUUCAAUAAAAACAAUUCUAUUCUGAUCUGCCUAACACUGGAAAUCAACAUUUAAUUUCAGGACUGUGAACAAUAAACAAAUAAAUAUAAUAGGAAGGUAGAAAUUUCUUCCUUUUCUUCUUUUCUCCUCUCCUCACCUUUCCUUUUUCCACAGAUUACUGAGCAAUAGAAAAUGAAAAAGAAAAUAUGAAUAUUUCAAUGAAUAAGAACUUAUUUAUCAAAUGAGUAUAAUACAUCAAUCACAAUGGUAAACAUUCUUAUUAAAGGCAGAAUCCCUUUUAAUUUUCACAAUAACUCUUUAUGGUGGAUGCUAUUUCUCUACCCGUUUUACAUAGAAACUGAGGACUAGAGAAUGUAGUGGUAUUUUUUAUUGCAACCUGCUUAUUCCUUCUCAAAAGAGUAACAAUUUUGAUGUUAUCUACUCUUCAUCUGUGAGUCUAUUCCACACUCAUUUAUUUGAAUUGGACAGACAUCAGUAAUUCUAUAUGAACCAUUCCUUAAUUCUUAAGUCAUGAAGAGAAAUUGGAAGCUUCUGGAAAAUAUUUACUUGCUAAUACGAGAAAGCACAGGAAGGAAUGUUUUAACUUCUUCCUCUGAAUAUGAUUGUGUCUUGGUAACAACAGGAUUAUCUGUAGCCAUUGGCUGCAGUGAUGAUGAAAUUGACUAUAAGCAUGAUAGAUUACAGAGAUGAGAAAAAAAAAACAAAACAAACCUGCAUCCUCGAUGGUAUUCCAAAGACACUGAUUAAAUCUGUCCAAAAAGCCAUGCUGUUGUCUAAUGAAGUUUAAGUCCAUUUGAAUUGGGGUUUCUUUUAUUUGCAACCGAAAGUAGCCUAAUUGAAAGAGGUUGUUUAAUAUAAUUCAGAGUUCUCCAAAAAAAACAUAAACAAAAACCCAGACCUAAGAGGAUGGAGAGAGACAGACAGAGGGAGAGAGAGAUGAUAGAUAUGUAGAUUUAGAUGUAUAGAUUAGACUUAUUAUAAGGAGUUGGCUCACAUAAUUAUGGAGGCUGGCCAAGUCCCAAGGUCUGCAGGAUGAGUCAGAAAGCAGAAGACCCAGGAAAGCUGGUGGUUUAAUUACAGUUUGAAGGCCAGCAGGCUGGAGACCCAGGGUGAGCUGAUGUUCCAGUUUAAAUCUGAGGGCAGGAAAAAAGCCAAUGUCCCAGUUCUAAGGCUGUCAAGUAAGAGGAAUUCUCUCUUACUUGAGGAAGAACGAGUAUUUUUGUUCUAUUAAAGACUUCAAUUGACUGGAUGAGGCCUACUCACAUUAUGGAGGACAAUCUGCUUUACCCAGAUUUCAGAUUUAAAGUUUAACUUUAUCCAAAAACACCAUCCCAGGAAGACUCAAAAUAAUGCUUAAGCAAAUAUCUGGCACUGUGGGACCUGGUCAAACUGACACACAAAAUUAAUCAUCACAGAGGUGUUAAAAGUUCACAAUGCUGUCAGUAGAAGAGAUAAGAUUUGAACCCAGGUGCUCUAUCUCAAGGGCUUCUGCUUACAAACACUAGGACAUAUUGACAUAAUUCCUUCAGAGAGAAAGAAAAGCUACUUUUUCCUAGGGUGAAAUGUAAAUAACCCUGAAAGUUAUCUCUAAUAAAAAUUACUAUGAAAGUUAGCUUUCUAGUUGGCUAAAAUAUCCCACCAUUGUCAUAACUACCAAAUAAUUUUCUUAAGAAGUAUUUUGUGAGUAGCUGGUUAAUUUUAUUUAGAAGUUGAGAGGGCAGAGUCAAUGUUACUUCAACAGGCUUCAAAGCCUUAGUGACUAGAAUGAUGACAAUGUUAAGAAAUAAUUCAAGUGUUUUGAUGGGGAAAUUCAAUCUUAGGUUCUAGUGACAGAUGCAUAUAGAGAUAUUCAAUAGACAGUAGAUAACCUAGAGUUCAGUUGAAAGAUUAAAACUAGAUAUAUAAAUCUGUGGUUACAGGAUCUACUCUUUUUCAUGACUUUAAUGUAUAUGAUAUAUAUUAUAUAUAAUAUGUUUUAUAUAUAUAACACCUUGAUUGAGAUAUAAUUCAAAUACUAUUUGAAGUAAACAAUUCAAUGGUUUCCAACAUACUGAGUUGUGCAAUUCUUCUCUACAGUCAAUUUUAGAACAUUUUCAUUACCUGAAAAAAAGAAACCCUGGACCCAGUAGCAGUCACUUUCCAUUUCUUCCCAACCCAUGACAAUAGGCUUCUACUAAUCACCAUUUGUAAAGGUAUCUCCCUGGUACCAGGGAGAGGAAGAUGGCCAAAUUUUUAGAAAUUCUUUUCAAUAGAGGAGGUAAAGACUUAAAUCUGGAUCACAAUCACCCUUGUUUUCUCUGCUUUUCUCAUAAUUGACUCCCUACCCUUAACAUCCUCUUUUGUCUUUAGCUGAAGAUGGUGUUUAAGGUAAGGGUUUCAGUCAUUUUGGCAAGUUACUUAGUUAUCCUGGAUCUCUCCCAUGUAUACAUGUUAUUAAAAUUUGACUUUUCUCCUAUAAAUCUGUCUCAUGACAAGUUAAUUCAUAAACCAGCCAGAAGAACCUAGAAGAUGCUAACUGGAGACUGGCACUUAUCACUUGCCUCUACAAGGAUUAAAUCAUGAGCCCCUGCAGCUGCUGACCUUCUACACCCCCUCAAAGGAACUCAGGGUAAAGAUUAGGAGUGAGACACUUUGUGCUCUGGAAAAACUGGCAGAACAGGCCUUCAGAUAGUUACAUAUUUUUAGGAGAAGAUUUUAUGCAUUGCCUCAUAUCUAAAAAACCACUAAAAUCCUCCAUGGUGACAUCUGCUCCUCAUGAGUAGCAGUGACCUUCAGGAGACUAGCAGUAACCUUCUGUAAAAAUGUGUGCUUGAUUGCAUGGACCCCCUCCCAACCCCCUCACCAAAAUCACAUAUAUACUGACAUUCCCUCCUGCCUUUUUGGAGUGUUUUCUCAGAGCUAUCUGAUAGGCCUCUUCCCAGGCUAUAGUCUUCAUUUUGCCCCAAACAAUAUUUAACUCACAAUUCUAUUGAUAUGUAUUUUAUUUUCAGCCAAUAAUGGGUAGAGAAAAACUUCCUGCAUCCCAACACUUUACAAGAAAGUAGUCAAAUUUAAACACAGACCAGGUUCAAAGUAUAGGAAGCCAAUUUACCACAGUACACUUCCAAGAAAGGAUUCUCAUGACCCUUUUAACCACUUUAUCUAAAUGGGAAAACACAGGAAUAGAAAAGACACCAAACACUAUCUCUAUCCUACUUGCUCAUCCUAUGAAGGCUUUGGGACUGAAGCAAACCUAAAGGAGAGAAGAUUUGAUUUUAAAUCAAGUCCAAAAUUUUGAGUAAGAUUUUAAAGAGAUUUCCUAUUGUGGUACAGCAUAUUAAGGACCUAGUGUUGUCGUCUGCAGUAGCUCAGGUUGCUGCUGAGGUACAGGUUCAAUCCCUGGCCUGGUGCAGUGGGUUAUGGAUCUGGUGUUCCUGGACUGUGGUGUAGGUUGCAGCUAUGACUCAGAUUCGAUUCCUGGCCAGAAAUUUCUAUAUGCCAUGGGUGCGGCAAAAAAAAAAAGAUUUUAAAUAAAUAUUAUAACUUUAGAUUUUAGAUGGUGUCAAAUAAAAAAUAUGCACAACCUAAAAGUUUAGAGUUUUGCUUUAUUUGGUGGACAAAACUGAGGAGGUAAGCCCUGGAGACUGCAUUCCAAGUUAACACUUGCGGGGCGAUAGAAUAUAUAGGAAUUUUGCAACAAAGGGCAGGUAGUAGGAACAAAAGAUUACUGCUAAGAACAGAAAACUAGAUAGCUCAAGUUAAGGAAUUUAGCACUUUUCUAUGUAUGGGAAGAUGCAAGGUCUGGGCUCACUGAAAUUAUUCCUUUGAUGUGCACCUCAGCCAUUGGGGCCAAUAUCCUACAUUUCCUCAGGGCUCACUGCCAGGAAUGGCUGCAGUCUGAUGGCUGCUAGAUAGCAGGUAUUCUUUGUUUCCUUCCUGAGUUCCCUCAGAGCUCACCAGCUCACUCUUGAAGGUGGCUGCAAUCUCUAACGACAGUGACGUCUUUCGUUUAUUGAUAUGGUAGGCAAUGUUUGAUCUGAAAAUUAAAGUGAGACUAGAAUCUGGGUCAGCAUUUCUUAAGACUGGGAAGAAAAGACAAAGGUUUUCAAGAAUUUUUAUCAUGGGUCAGGGAAGUCACCCUAACCAAAUGAAGGUUAAAGGAAUGCUGAGAGCAAACAUAAAAUUCCCUUCUAUUAUUAUGCUAACAGCACUUAUCCAAUGGUAUUCAAUAAAAUAUUAUAUCAGUGUUACCAUAAUUUUGAGGAGAAUCCAUGGGAAGUUUAUCAAGGUAUAUUUUUAAUUAUAGAAAAGCAAAUUGAGGAGAUCCUAUUGUGGCACAAUAAGAUCAGUGCUGUCUCUGGAGCAAGGUAGUGCAGAUUCAAUCCCAGCAAAACGGGUUAAGGAUCUGGUGUUGCCACAGCUGUAGCAUAGUUCGCAACUGCAACUUAGACCUAAUAACCUGCUCAGGCAUCUCCAUAUGCCACUGGGAAGCCAAAAAAGGAAAAAGAAAAAGAAGAACAAGUUGAAGAGUACUAGAAUAUGACACUCCAAAAUACACCUGUCUGGCAUACGGAUUAUUUUGAGCUAAAGGCAAUUCAGAACAAAGAGGCAUAAAAGCUGUUUACUUGCUCCAUAACUGCUUAAAAAUAGAAUAUGAAAUUGUUUUCAGGUAGCUGUGGGGUGAGAACACUGAACCCUAACCACUUGGUGUAGGUACCCAGAACUUGUCCCUUUGGAGAAAGAAUUCUGCAAAGAGACUGAGGAUAGUGAGGUAAAUUAGUGUUUAUCAAGAGAGAAGAGAAAGAAGAUAAUAUGGAGAAAGCACAGGCAGGGUUUAUUAAGAGAGAAGAAAGAAGACAGGUGUGGAGAAAGCACCAGAUAGCUGGAGAGUGGGGAGUGGAGAGGGAGAGAGAGAGAGACAGAGGCAAAGACAAAGAGAAAGAGAGGAACCCGGGUUUGAGGUCCUUUAAGUCAUGUAUAUGGGGGCAGUCCUUCCUCUGGCCAAUCAUCUUGCUUCAAUUGGCCUUGGCCUGACUCAGGGCCCUCCUGUAUGCACAGGCAUCUUUUAGCCAGGAUGGAUUUUAGCACAAGGGUCUCUGAGAAGUUGACAGGAUGUAUUACGGUCUGGUGCCUCUCCUUUGUCUGACCCCUGAGGAAUGUUUCUGUGAGUGUGUAGUUCCAUAGGUCUCCUUGACCGCAAGAAUGAGAAAUAGAUGGUCUCUAUCUUUUAUCCAAGCAGCAUGCAGCUUUCAUCCUGAAGUUAUCUGUCCACAGGGAACAGAUUACUGUUGCUCAGCUU
rnacentral:lncRNA from 1 species